rnacentral:rRNA from 1 species
CGGAAGAUCCAAGCGUUAUCCGGAAUUACUGGGCGUAAAGAGUUGCGUAGGUGGCAUAGUAAGUAGAUAGUGAAAUCCUGGGGCUCAACCCCUUACACAUUGUCUAAACUGCUAAGCUAGAGGGCGAGAGAGGUAGCUAGAAUUCCUAGUGUAGGAGUGAAAUCCGUAGAUAUUAGGAGGAAUACCGAUGGCGUAGGCAGGCUACUGGCUCGUCCCUGACACUAAGGCACGAAAGCGUGGGGGAAGCGACCGGGAUUAGAUACCCCGUUAGUCCACGCCGUAAACGAUGGAUGCUAGCUGUUAUGCGUAUCGACCCGCGUAGUAGCGAAGCUAACGCGUUAAGCAUCCCGCCUGUGGAGUACGAGCGCAAGCUUA